rnacentral:rRNA from 1 species
AUUGAACGCUGGCGGUAUGCUUUACACAUGCAAGUCGAACGGUAACAGGGUGCUUGCACCGCUGUCGAGUGGCGAACGGGUGAGUAAUGCGUCGGAACGUGCCGAGUAGUGGGGGAUAACGCAGCGAAAGUGGUGCUAAUACCGCAUACGUACUGAGGUAGAAGGUGGGGGACCUCCGGGCGUCACGCUAUUCGAGCGGCCGACGUCUGAUUAGCGAGUAGGUGAGGUAAAGGCUCACCUAGGCGACGAUCAGUAGCGGGUCUGAGAGGAUGAUCCGCCACACUGGGACUGAGACACGGCCCAGACUCCUACGGGAGGCAGCAGUGGGGAAUUUUGGACGAUGGGCGAAAGCCUGAUCCAGCCAUGGCGCGUGUCUGAAGAAGGCCUUCGGGUUGUAAAGGACUUUUGUCAGGGAGGAAAUCCCUAGUGCUAAUAACACUGGGGGAUGACAGUACCUGAAGAAUAAGCACCGGCUAACUACGUGCCAGCCGCCGCCGUAA